CGAACACCCUGGAGGAGACACAGGAAGGACAGGUGAAGCAGAUCAUCCACAACCGCACCUGGCAGAAGACAACACACGUCACCAAUCACUACUCAUCAAUUUCACCAUGGUUUGAAAUGUUCAUCCACAUGCUUCACAUAUUCAAUAAAGCUCAUGUGCAAAUAUGCAAUGUGCAAACUGCUCUGUGCAAAUCAUGCUAAUAAAGUGCAACUAUCACCA